UACAGAGGGGGCAAGCGUUGUUCGGAAUUACUGGGCGUAAAGGGCGCGUAGGCGGCCUGCUAAGUCGAACGUGAAAUCCCUGGGCUCAACCCGGGAACUCGUCCGAUACUGGGAGCUUGAAUCCGGGAGAGGGAUGUGGAAUUCCAGGUGUAGCGGUGAAAAUGCGUAGAUAUCUGGAGGAACACCGGUGGCGAAGGCGGCAUCCUGGACCGGUAUUGACGCUGAGGCGCGAAAGCCAGGGGAGCAAACGGG
rnacentral:rRNA from 1 species